rnacentral:rRNA from 1 species
GACGAACGCUGGCGGCGUGCUUAACACAUGCAAGUCGAACGGAAAGGCCCUGCUUUUGUGGGGUGCUCGAGUGGCGAACGGGUGAGUAACACGUGAGUAACCUGCCCUUGACUUUGGGAUAACUUCAGGAAACUGGGGCUAAUACCGGAUAGGAGCUCCUGCUGCAUGGUGGGGGUUGGAAAGUUUCGGCGGUUGGGGAUGGACUCGCGGCUUAUCAGCUUGUUGGUGGGGUAGUGGCUUACCAAGGCUUUGACGGGUAGCCGGCCUGAGAGGGUGACCGGCCACAUUGGGACUGGGAUACGGCCCAGACUCCUACGGGAGGAAGCAGGGGGGAAUAUUGCACAAUGGGCGGAAGCCUGAUGCAGAAACGCCGGGGGGGGGAUGACGGCCUUCGGGUUGUAAACCGCUUUCGCCGUUGACGAAGCGGGGGUGGCGGUAAUGGUUAAAGAAGCAGCGGCUAACUACGU